rnacentral:rRNA from 1 species
GAUGAACGCUGGCGGCGUGCCUAAUACAUGCAAGUCGAGCGAACAGACGAGGAGCUUGCUCCUCUGACGUUAGCGGCGGACGGGUGAGUAACACGUGGAUAACCUACCUAUAAGACUGGGAUAACUUCGGGAAACCGGAGCUAAUACCGGAUAAUAUAUUGAACCGCAUGGUUCAAUAGUGAAAGACGGUUUUGCUGUCACUUAUAGAUGGAUCCGCGCCGCAUUAGCUAGUUGGUAAGGUAACGGCUUACCAAGGCAACGAUGCGUAGCCGACCUGAGAGGGUGAUCGGCCACACUGGAACUGAGACACGGUCCAGACUCCUACGGGAGGCAGCAGUAGGGAAUCUUCCGCAAUGGGCGAAAGCCUGACGGAGCAACGCCGCGUGAGUGAUGAAGGUCUUCGGAUCGUAAAGCUCUGUUAUUGGGGAAGAACAAAUGUGUAAGUAACUAUGCACGUCUUGACGGUACCUAAUCAGAAAGCCACGGCUAACUACGUG